UGGGGAAUAUUGCACAAUGGGCGCAAGCCUGAUGCAGCCAUGCCGCGUGUGUGAAGAAGGCCUUCGGUUGUAAAGCACUUUCAGCGAGGAGGAAGGUGGUGAGCUUAAUACGCUCAUCAAUUGACGUUACUCGCAGAAGAAGCACCGGCUAACUCCGUGCCAGCAGCCGCGGUAAUACGGAGGGUGCAAGCGUUAAUCGGAAUUACUGGGCGUAAAGCGCACGCAGGCGGUUUGUUAAGUCAGAUGUGAAAUCCCCGGGCUCAACCUGGGAACUGCAUUUGAAACUGGCAAGCUAGGAGUCUCGUAGAGGGGGGUAGAAUUCCAGGUGUAGCGGUGAAAUGCGUAGAGAUCUGGAGGAAUACCGGUGGCGAAGGCGGCCCCCUGGACGAAGACUGACGCUCAGGUGCGAAAGCGUGGGGAGCAAAACAGGAUUAGAUACCCUGGUAGUCCACGCUGUAAACGAUGUCGAUUUUGGAGGUUGUGCCCUUGAGGCGUGGCUUCCGGAGCUAACGCGUUAAAUCGACCGCCUGGGGAGUACGGCC
rnacentral:rRNA from 1 species